rnacentral:tRNA from 1 species
GGGGAUUAAGCUCAGUGGUAGAGCGUUUGCCUAGCAAGCACAAGGCCCUGGGUUCGGUCCCCAGCUCCG